AUCAGGGCCCCUCAGUUGAUUUCAGCCUACAAGAAUAUUGACAGCACUGCUGCAUCACCUUCAUUCCUUCAAACUGAUGUUAAAUAAAGUGGAUGAUGAGAGGCAGAAUGAGAAAGUGAGAGAAAGAAGAAUCAAUUCAGUUAAUUAAUGGAUGACAAAUUAAAGCUCUGCAGGAAGAGACAUGGACCUGGGCAAGAGAAGACACUAGCAAAACCUCCUGGAGCUGUUGUUGGUUUGCUGGGAGAGAUGAGCACAGGUGACAGAGAGGAGCCUCCAAAGAUGAUGUACCCCCUAAAGUUUCAUGAAGACAGUUGUGCUGUGUUAAAGAAAGUCUUACCAUUCCAGCCUGUGACUGAAUACCCAAGUAUGAUUUCAAUCCCAGAGAAGAAGCCAGAUAUUACAGACAGAUGUUAAGGAGUGGCCACCCACAGAAGUAUUUUUUCUUCUUCUAUCCUUAAUUUUCAUUCACAUGUCCUUCUUAUCUAGAUUUUGAGUCCCAUGAGACACCUGACUGUUGUUUUAUCUUUAGACCACAGCAUUGCUGGGAACCUCAGUCUGCCCAGAUCUUCCCUGUGAUGAAUCUCAUAACCAAACUAUGUUCACCUCACCCAAGAAGUAAGAGUAAAAUUUCACUAAAAAAUAACAUUAUUUAUAGAAAACACAGCACAAGAAACAAACACACCAAAACCUUGGGGUGACAAACAGAAUUUUAAGUAUUCAUGAGUGAGACUGUAUCCCAAAUUCAUUUCACAGAUGUGGCAAUUGUGUCCAAAUAAUUUAGCACACCUUGAAAGCCUGGUGACCUGCCUGCUCCAUGACUUCAUCCACAGUGCUCAGUGUUGUGCUAUUGUAAAAACUGUGUGAAAAUCAAAAUGAUAAGUCUGUCCCUACAAGAAUUAAACAGCCAUCCUUGGAGGUAAUUGAAGAGCUGGUGUGGGCAUUCUGCAUAGCCUUCACAGAUCUAGGAAAUGGGUUAGUGCUAUAGUGUUGUAAGGAUGAUUUUGAAAAACAAAACAGAUUAAUUGAAAGAUAAGGAAGUGAUAGAUUAAGAAGAGAAAUUCACCCUUAUAAUAAUUUUAUUAUUUUCCUGUUCAUUAGGUACAAAUUUGAACACUGACUAAUAAAUCAUACUGCUGUUAAGCCA
rnacentral:lncRNA from 1 species